UCAAGCGAGUAAGGGUCCAUAGGGGAUGCCUUGGCGCUAUCCGACGACGAAGGCCGUGGUAAGCUGCGAAAAGCCUGGGUGAGGAGCAAACAUCCUGUGAGCCCAGGAUUGCCGAAUGGGGUAACCCGGCAAUCUUGAUGAUUGUCAUUUCUGUGCUGAAUCUAUAGGUACAGAAAAGUGAAAUGCAGGGAACUGAACCAUCUAAGUACCUGUAAGAAAAGAAAUCAACUGAGAUUCUCUGAGUAGCGGCGAGCGAAAAGAGAAUAGCCCAAACCAAGAAGAUUUUGGUCUUCUUGGGGUUGUAGGGCUUCCUUUUUGAGUGAUAAAGUAGUCAGUUAGCAGAAAAAGCUGGAAAGUUUUGCCAAAGAGAGUGAUAGCCUCGUAAGCAAAAACUGACUGCCUCUUUGGGAGUUCCUGAGUACAGCGAGGCACGGGAAACCUUGUUGGAAUCUGGGGGGACCACCCUCCAAGGCUAAAUACGAGAUAGCGACCGAUAGUGUACGAGUACCGUGAGGGAAGUGGUGAAAAGAACCCCUGAAGGGGAGUGAAACAGAACCUGAAACUAUGGAUCUACAAGCUGUAGGAGCUGUUCUUUUUAGGGAUAGCGACUGCGUGCCUUUUGCAGAAUGAGCCUGCGAGUUAUCCUGCGUAGCGAGGUUAAGGCAUGGAAAUGCCGGAGCCGGAGAGAAAUCAAGUCUAAAAUGGGCGAUGAGUUUCGCAGGGUAGACCCGAAACUGAGUGAUCUACUUAUGGCCAGGUUGAAGCUUGGGUAAUGCCAAGUGAAAGACCGAACCCUAGUCUGUUAAAAAAGGCAGGGAUGAGCUGUGAGUCGGAGUGAAAGGCUAAUCAAACUCAGAAAUAGCUGGUUCUCCCCGAAAUGGUUUUAGGAUCAGCCUUGUAUGUUUUUCGAUGGAGGUAGAGCACUGGUUAGGCUAGGGCGGGUCAAACUGUACCAAACUUAGCCAAACUCCGAAUGCCAUCGUUUUAUAGUGCAGGAGUGAGACUAUGGGUGAUAAGAUUCAUGGUCAAAAGGGAAACAGCCCAGAGCGUCAGCUAAGGUCCCUAAACUGUGUUCAGUGGAAAAGGAUGUGUAGUGGCAAAAACAGCCAGGAGGUUGGCUUAGAAGUAGCCAUUCCUUAAAAGAGUGUGUAAUAACUCACUGGUCGAGUUGCUAUGCGCCGAUAAUGUAACGGGGCUAAACACAGUACCGAAGCUACGCCUGCUGCAUUUAUUUGUAGCGGGGUAGGGGAGUGUUGCGUAAGCUGUUGAAGGUGAGGCGUGAGCCUUGCUGGAGGUAUCGCGAGUAAGUAUGCAGGCAUGAGUAACGAAAAAAGAGGUGAGAUACCUCUUCGCCGAAAGCUCAAGGUUUCCUGGGUAAAGUUUGUCUUCCCAGGGUUAAGCGGCCCCUAAGGUCAGGCCGAAAGGCGUAGCCGAUGGGUUAACUGGUUAAUAUUCCAGUCUUUCUGGUAAUUUCGAUGGAGUGACGUAUUAGGAGAGCUACAGCAGGGCGUUGGUUGUCCCUGUCUCAAGUGCAAGGUGCUGAGAGCCCUUGGUAAAUCCGGGGCUUGAGCUGAGCGUGAGAGCGAUCAAUACUACGGUUGCGAGAAGUGUAGGGAUUCAAGGUACCGAGAAAUAGCUUCUAAGGUCAGGUUAUCAGGAACCGUACCGUAAACCGACACAGGUGAGCGAGAUGAGAAAUCUAAGGCGUACAGGAGAACUCGCGUUAAGGAACUCGGCAAAUUACAUACGUAACUUCGGAAAAAGUAUGGCCUAACACAUAAUGGUGAGGUUGCAGAGUCCAAGUGGAAGCGACUGUUUAUCAAAAACAUAUGUCUCUGCUAACUCGCAAGAGGAUGUAUAGAGACUGACACCUGCCCGGUGCUGGUAGGUUAAGAGGAGUGGUCAGAGUAAUCAAAGCUGCGAAUUGAAGCCCCAGUAAACGGCGGCAAUAACUAUAAUUGUCCUAAGGUAGCGAAAUUCCUUGUCGGGUAAGUUCCGACCUGCACGAAUGGUGUAACGACUUCCACACUGUCUCAACGCGAGACCUGGUGAAAUUGUA
rnacentral:rRNA from 1 species